AGUGAAGUAGGUUAAUUGAUUUGACUAUUUGUUUUCAAAACAGGGGGUGGCUGUAAGCCUUUCACUG
rnacentral:tRNA from 1 species